UAAGGUGCAUCUAGUGCAGUUAGUGAUGUAGCUUAGAAUCUACUGCCCUAAGUGCUCCUUCUGGC
rnacentral:pre_miRNA from 1 species